AAUGUUAGAUGCUUUUUUGAAUUAGAAAUAAGACAUAACUGGAAACAUUAUGGUAACAUUUGAUCUUGAUCUUGUAUUAUUGAUUUAAAUAUUGUUGGAUUAAACCUUAGAUUUGUAUUAUUCCUAUGGAAAUAGAAACAAGGAGCUUUCUCAAGCAUUCCCAUGGCAAUGCUUGCCAAGUGUAUUUAUGAAAACCGGCCUACCUUGCAGCUGGUUCUCAGCGGUUGUUGACACUAAUACAUUGGUAAAAAAAAGACUAGUUGGGUUACAGUACAGUAAUUCUGUCUGUGUUGUUUUCUUUGAUGUGCGUGAAUAAAAAAGCUCUACAAAACAUAUUGACAAACGAUGAUAUUGAACAAGAUGGUUUGGAGGCAGUGUGGUAUUCAUAUUAGCUACGGGUAUGGAACUAGGGUCAGCAUACUAUGGAGUCUCCUCGAUAGUUUUGAUGGGCUAGUUAGGUAGAUCAGCGAUCUCACUUGCAACCGACCCAUUGAACAGAGGUGCACUAGGGUGAGCUACUGCUGCCCCCUGGACAUAUUAUUGUAGGCCAAAAUACUCUGUUGGCAGGGGGUACUUGUUUAACUCGCAUUAUACUGACUGAUAUUUUGGUCCAUAUCAAACAAUACCCUAAUUACCGUACCUGAGAGCUCUCUGUGUUUGCUAUGGAGCAUGUCUAGCUGACAGAUAACUGCUAGGCCUCUGGGGCAGUUUUUUCCUCUAGUUGCUAAAUAUUGACCUUUUUAUGCAACAGUGUUCAUGGUGGCUUUGGUGAAAUUGCAACAGCCGUCAUAAAAGCUUUACUCCUAUAGGUCAGUAGGAAGCUGUAUUUAGAAAAGGAGUGAUUUUUCCUGUUCUCAUUAUGCAAAAAAAAUGGAGGCAAUGUUGCUUUGAAUAUAUGUGUAUGCAAUAGGCAACCAUGUAUUGUAAGGAUCCCUUAAUUUUGCUGGAUAAUUGUGCAGUAGAUUUUGUUUUCAAAUAAAAAGAACCAAAUGCUGUUUUCUGUGUUAAAAAUGAACCUCUUUUAUUAUGCCUCUUUUCCAUUUCAUUUCCAUGUUAUCCACGCUUACUAUUUUUGCUUGGGAAAUACCUGUUAUAAGAGUUGGUGUUUUAAUGCUUUCUGCCUCACCUAAUUCUUUGUUCCCCCAUAUUCCUGUCUGUCAAUUCUGUAUACUACUACAAAACAAACUGUAAAUAAAGUUUAGCAUUCCUAUUGUAACAUUUUUAUGAAAUAAAUUAUAUUUCCUAGUCUAAUAAAAAAUAAAAUAAUUUAUGUCUGCGGAA